CAANUUUGAAAUCUGGCUCUCGGGCCCGAGUUGUAAUUUGUAGAGGAUGAUUUUGGCGCGGUGCCUUCCGAGUUCCCUGGAACGGGACGCCUUANAGGGUGAGAGCCCCGUACGGUUGGACACCAAGCCUCUGUAAAUCUCCUUCGACGAGUCGAGUAGUUUGGGAAUGCUGCUCUAAAUGGGAGGUAAAUUUCUUCUAAAGCUAAAUACCGGCCAGAGACCGAUAGCGCACAAGUAGAGUGAUCGAAAGAUGAAAAGCACUUUGAAAAGAGGGUUAAAUAGCACGUGAAAUUGUUGAAAGGGAAGCAUUUACUACCAGACCUUUGCCCUGCGGAUCAUGUGGUGUUCUCACCGCUGCACUUCGCUUGGUUUAGGCCAGCAUCGGUUUUUGUAGGGGGAUAAAAGCUUUAGGAACGUAGCUCCCUCGGGAGUGUUAUAGCCUUUUGCAUAAUACCCUUACGGGGACCGAGGACCGCGCUUCGGCAAGGAUGCUGGCAUAAUGGUAGUCAAUGACCCG
rnacentral:rRNA from 2 species